rnacentral:rRNA from 1 species
UUGGAGGGCAAGUCUGGUGCCAGCAGCCGCGGUAAUUCCAGCUCCAAUAGCGUAUAUUAAAGUUGUUGCAGUUAAAAAGCUCGUAGUUGAAUUUCGGAACCAAUAUGUUGGUUGUGCCUCGGUACGUACUGGCAUUGUUGGUUUCUCCCUUCUGACGAACUAUGAUGUCAUUAAUUUGGUGUCAUGGGGAAUCAGGACUGUUACUUUGAAAAAAUUAGAGUGUUUAAAGCAAGCUCACGCUUGAAUACAUUAGCAUGGAAUAAUGAAAUAGGACGUUUGAUUCUAUUUUGUUGGUUUCUAGGAUUGACGUAAUGAUUAAUAGGGAUAGUUGGGGGCAUUAGUAUUCAAUUGUCAGAGGUGAAAUUCUUGGACUUAUUGAAGACUAACUACUGCGAAAGCAUUUGCCAAGGAUGUUUUCAUUAAUCAAGAACGAAAGUUAGGGGAUCGAAGACGAUCAGAUACCGUCGUAGUCUUAACCAUAAACUAUGCCGACUAGGGAUCGGAUGAUGUUAAUUUUUUAAUGACUCAUUCGGCGCCUUACGGGAAACCAAAGUGUUUGGGUU